rnacentral:rRNA from 1 species
GACGAACGCUGGCGGCGUGCUUAACACAUGCAAGUCGAACGGAAAGGCCCUGCUUUUGUGGGGUGCUCGAGUGGCGAACGGGUGAGUAACACGUGAGUAACCUGCCCUUGACUUUGGGAUAACUUCAGGAAACUGGGGCUAAUACCGGAUAGGAGCUCCUGCUGCAUGGUGGGGGUUGGAAAGUUUCGGCGGUUGGGGAUGGACUCGCGGCUUAUCAGCUUGUUGGUGGGGUAGUGGCUUACCAAGGCUUUGACGGGUAGCCGGCCUGAGAGGGUGACCGGCCACCAUGGGACUGCGAUACGGCCCAGACUCCUACGGGAGGCAGCAGUGGGGAAUAUUGCACAAUGGGCGGAAGCCUGAUGCAGCAACGCCGCGUGCGGGAUGACGGCCUUCGGGUUGUAAACCGCUUUCGCCUGUGACGAAGCGUGAGUGACGGUAAUGGGUAAAGAAGCACCGGCUAACUACGUG